ACGAUGAUUGCUAUAAUUGCAGGCUGUUUUUCUCUUCAAGUCCGAGUCAACAUCACUUCAGAUAUUCCACAUCGGAAACUUGCAUAUAAAAUUAAUAUUAUUUUAUUCGAAAGAAGAAAUUGCCAGAUACGAUCUUAUUUGAACAGGAUCUGUUCUAUAGGUUGUACGUCUGUAUCCUCGAACCGUAGUUUGGUGGAUGAACCACUGCCUUGUUGGCUGGGGCGUGAUUAAUGGUUCAACGGAUACUUCGUCUAGCGGCUGUAGAUGAUCGUUUUCCAGUGGGUUGGUCACAAGGCGAUCUGACAAACUUUAAAAUAUUUUUCUUUUGCCUCUUUCUCAUGGAUUGCUAAGUUUGUCUGCUGCCUUGUUGCUGCUUUGUCGUUGUUUUGUUUUUGUGACUGAGAUUUUGGAUGGAUUUAUGAUAUCAUCUCUCUUUCACUCAAAUUCACCAUUCAUUAUGCGUGUAUUCACUAGAUGUGAGUUAUGAGCAACGUGGAUGUUCUAUUUAUGCUCAUAAACUGUUUGAUGAAAUGCCUCACACAGCCCUGUUGUUGCAACUCAAGAAGGUUUGUUUGUUUUAUUGCUUCUGCUGCAAUAUGUUUCUAAUUUAACCAUAUUCAAACAUGUUGUGGCUUGCCCCCAAAUAAAAUGUGCUGAAAAUUCAUCUUCCAAAAGCUUAAAACCAAACUAACAAUCAACUCCCAUUAAGGUUGACACCUGAAAUUUCCCUUUUAAAUUGUUAUGUCUCACUCUCAUUUAUGCUUGGGCUUUGUUUCUACAUAUUCUGCUGCUGCUCUGAAACUGGGGAAGUACCCAUUCCCUUGGUCUAUCGCUUGAAAAGCAUCCCAGAAAACCAGAGAUAGAGGGUCAUGGAAAACUUGGAUUUUCAUUUAUGCUUCUUAACUGUUUGCCUGAAAUGCUUCAGAAGAGCCCUGUUGGUGAAAAAAACUUUAAAUAAAUGAAAAACCAAGUUGUUUGAAAAUCCCACAUUGCUAGUUUUAUAACUUUGAGUCUCCUUUAUAAACCUCCACUUUUAGUUGUGGGUUUGGCCCCAAGAGGCACCCAUGUUUUAGAGAGAGUGAGAAGAUAGACAAAGGUGGGUUUGGUGGACAUUCCACACAUAUCGUCAACGCAUCAGUUUCAGUGUAGCUCUGAUCAAGUUAGAUUUAUUUUUCUAUGCUGUUUUAUCCAGCGAGCUCCGCGAUUCAGCCUGUAACAAGUUUUUGGUACUUGUUCCAACAAUUUUAAGACGAUUUUCCAUUUGCCACUGUUGUGGUGACCCUUUCUCAGAAUGACAUUAUGUCCUCCGACUUUAACCAUCCGUUUCGAUUCGAAGGAUCAAACUUCAAAUGUUGGAAGCAGAAGAUGCUAUUCUUCCUCACCAUCAAGAAGGUUGUUGAUGUCUGCGCCACAGCGAAGCCAACUGUCCCAAUGGAAGAUCCGACUGAACAACAGAUUAGAGAUGCAGCUGAUUGGGAAGAAAAAGAUUUUCUAUCCAAACAUUUUAUUUUAAACUGUUUGACUGACGAUUUGUAUGAUUAUUACGGUACAAUGAAGACAACAAAAGAAGUAUGAGAUACUCUGCAAAAAGAAUACGAUUCCAAGGAGGCCGACUCGGAAAAAUAUGUCGUCAGCCAUUACUUGAAGUUCCAAAUGACGGAUGACAUGUCUGUAGAGGCCCAAUCCCCUGAAUUGUAGAAGAUAAUCCACGAAAUUAUAAGCGAAGGUAUGCCUCUGAAUGAGCAAUUUCAAAUUGUUGUCAUUAUUAACAAAUUGCCUCCAUUGUGGAAGGACUUUAAGAAUACCUUAAGGCAUAAGACCAAGGAGUUCUCGUUGGAAAGUUUGAUCACCUGCUUGAGGAUCAAGGAGGAAACUUGGAAAUAGGACCAGAGGGAAGAGAUAAACACCGUACCGAGAAAGCCCUCCUCAACUAUUGUGAAACUUGACCAAAAGCAAAAAGGAACCAAGAGGAAAGGUUGGAAUCGUGGAUCCAGUACAACCAGAACAACUAGAAGAAACAUAACCCCCUAGAGAAACGAUACAGUUCCUCUGCUUUAACUAUAACAAACCUAGGCAUAUGACUAAGAACUGUAGGAACAGACGACAUCCUGCUGAGUAGGCGAACUUGACAAAGGAGCCCUUAGUAGCCAUGAUCACAAAAGUAAAUGUGAUCGGUGGCUCUGAUGGGUGGUGGAUAGAUACUGGUGUUAUGCGCCAUGUCUGUCAUGACCUAAGUCUCUUUAAAUCUUAUACUGACACUAAGGAUAAAAAUAUACUGUCGGAGGAUCACUGCUCAAUGAAAGUUAUUGGAAUCGGUGAGGUGGAGCUGAAGUUUACUGUCGGGAAGACUCUCACUUUGAAGGAUGUCCUGCACACUUUGGAGAUAAGAAAGAAUUUGGCCUCGAGCUAUUUCCUCAACAAAGUCGGCUUCACUUAGACAAUAGAGGCAUAUUUAUAUACCUCCACUAAGAAUACUGUAUUUGUAGGGAAGGGUUAUGUAGCUGAAGGCAUGUUUAAAUUAAACCUAGACUUAAAUAAAAUGAAAUCUUCUGUUUA